GCCCGGUUAGCUCAAUCGGUAGAGCGUGAGACUCUUAAUCUCAAGGUUGCGGGUGAGUCAACAUGUUCAUAUCACAUUGCAAAUCUGAAAACAAAAAAUGCUGAUUCUCAAGCUUUAGGUUCGACCCCCGCAUUGGGCU